rnacentral:rRNA from 1 species
GGCUUWACACAUGCANGUCGAGCGGUAGCACAGGGGAGCUUGCUCCCUGGGUGACGAGCGGCGGACGGGUGAGUAAUGUCUGGGAAACUGCCUGAUGGAGGGGGAUAACUACUGGAAACGGUAGCUAAUACCGCAUAACGUCGCAAGACCAAAGAGGGGGACCUUCGGGCCUCUUGCCAUCAGAUGUGCCCAGAUGGGAUUAGCUAGUAGGUGGGGUAAUGGCUCACCUAGGCGACGAUCCCUAGCUGGUCUGAGAGGAUGACCAGCCACACUGGAACUGAGACACGGUCCAGACUCCUACGGGAGGCAGCAGUGGGGAAUAUUGCACAAUGGGCGCAAGCCUGAUGCAGCCAUGCCGCGUGKGUGARGAAGGCCUUCGGGBUUBDAAGBAABUUCUBCGVGGAGGAGGABGUGGDACHUUAUACGUUCAUCUAUUGACGUUACUCGCAGAAGAAGCACCGGCKCHVUCCBDDCCHVCVDGCCVSGGDAHDCGGAAGGDBGVAGCGKKUAUCGGRAUUACUGGGCGUAAAGCGCACGCAGGCGGUUUGUUAAGUCAGAUGUGAAAUCCCCGGGCUCAACCUGGGAACUGCAUUUGAAACUGGCAAGCUAGAGUCUCGUAGAGGGGGGUAGAANUUCCAGGUGUAGCGGUGAAAUGCGUAGAGAUCUGGAGGAAUACCGGUGGCGAAGGCGGCCCCCUGGACGAAGACUGACGCUCAGGUGCGAAARCGUGGGGAGCAAACAGGAUUAGAKACCSKGGUAGUCCACGCUGUAAACGAUGUCGAUUUGGAGGUUGUGCCCUUGAGGCGUGGCUUCCGGAGCUAACGCGUUAAAUCGACCGCCUGGGGAGUACGGCCGCAAGGUUAAAACUCAAAUGAAUUGACGGGGGCCCGCACAAGCGGUGGAGCAUGUGGUUUAAUUCGAUGCAACGCGAAGAACCUUACCUACUCUUGACAUCCAGAGAACUUUCCAGAGAUGSAUUGGUGCCUUCGGGAACUCUGAGACAGGUGCUGCAUGGCUGUCGUCAGCUCGUGUUGUGAAAUGUUGGGUUAAGUCCCGCAACGAGCGCAACCCUUAUCCUUUGUUGCCAGCGGUUCGGCCGGGAACUCAAAGGAGACUGCCAGUGAUAAACUGGAGGAAGGUGGGGAUGACGUCAAGUCAUCAUGGCCCUUACGAGUAGGGCUACACACGUGCUACAAUGGCRUAUACAAAGAGAAGCGACCUCGCGAGAGCAAGCGGACCUCAUAAAGUAYGUCGUAGUCCGG